UUCAAAAUAUUAUGGAAUUCAGCAUCUUGUGGAAUUAAAUAUUCUGUAUAUACUAAAUCAUUACAAAAAAAAUCUCACAAGGAAUUCUGGUUAAUCAUUCAGUACAUGCCACCAUCCAUCCGUUUCUCAGCUGUCUGAUAUUGUACCUUAAUUAACUUUAAAAUCCAUCAAAGUCCACAUUACUCAUUUAGUUCAAUUUUGUUUGAGACAUGGUCUCAUCCUAUAUUUCAUCUCAGACUGAUCUGCAAUGCACCAUAUCCUAGAUAGGCCUUAAACUUAGCAAUCGUCCUGUCUCAGCUUCCCAAGUGCUAGGAUUACUGGUGUAAAACCACCCACCCAACUCAGCUUGUUUUGAACUUUUAAACCCUGUAAUAGAAGUGAACUCACUUGCUCUCCAAAUACCUACUCUUCUUAAAAAAUGUAUCACAUAGUAAAAUUGCCCUAAGAAUGUCUGAUGUGCAUUUCUUACCUGACUAAGCCUGUUUUCCACUUGAGCUAACAUCACAGUGCAUUUUUAUGGCUAUCCUUUGAAAUUCUGAUGAGCUCACUACUAGUUCUACUUCUCUCAAAACAGCUCUUUCUCAGCAUGAUAGAAUAAUAAUGUGAGGCAGGAAAAAAAAACAUUGUUCUAAUCUUGGUUCUUUUAUUGAUUGAUUCUAGGGGGGAAAUCACACAAUUGUUUAAAGGCUUUUAGAAAAAUUCUAUACAAUGGAUAGACUUGCCCUACAUGUAAAAAUUCUACCACUAUAAUCUCUUUACUUCUAUAUCAUUAUUUCUUCGGUUGCAAUUCUCAAUUCCUAUUCACUAAAGAUGCAAGUAUUAUGUCUCGCAUUUACUUCAUGAUGCGAGGAUUCAUCUAACACAUCCUCAUUCCUUUUGGCUCUCAGUUCUUCUAGAUACUAUAUUUUUCUCCUUUUUUUAAGUUGUUUUGUGGAGGCUCUGGUUCUCUGAGGACAAAAUGAACUUUGCCUUAAAAUGGGUUUUUCACUAAGCAGUCUCUUGCUCUUGCUCUCACAUGCAGGCACCUGUAUCUCAGCAGACUGUCUUACAAGACGCAUUACUUUGAAGUCUACCUGGAUUCAAAACCACAUGGAUUCCUCAGUGUUUAGCUUCUGAGAUAUGGCUAGCUCUCUAGUUGACCUGGAGUAGUCACAUGUGGCCUCCCACAUAUCUAGGGUUUGCAAUCUUAGGCAGUGCUUACCUCUUGCAUCUUCCUUUGGACUCGCCCCUAUCCCUUCCUUGCAGAGAGUAAAUUGAGAUAUCUCCCAUUCCAUCUGAACAGUCCUCAGAAACCUGGCACCACCCUUAGGGGGCAAUUCUAGGAUAAGAUAUUACCACCCUGCAGUUCAACAUGGUCUUAAUCUCAAUCCUAAAUCUUAGUUAAAAGGGAAUUGUUUUCCUUGGGUGCCUUUCUGCAAUUUCUUCAUUCUUGAAACGUUUUCUUACUUAUUUCUUGCCAAACCUUUCUUAUUCCCAUUUUCUUAUACAUAACCAUUUUCUUCGGUGCUGGGUAUUGCAUGCAGAGGCUUACAUGUUAGCAAACACUGUACCAUUGGGCUGUAUCCACAGCCCAAAACAUUCCUUUUCUUAUAUUUAUCCUCACAUCAUUGUGUAGUUUCUAUUUCUUAAUAUGAACUAUAUUGAUACAGAUAUAUCUGCUUUUCAGAAUAAUUCACUCCUUAACUGUGCAAUCAAGCACUACUACUGGAAAACAUAAGCUAUGUAAUUCACCAACUUCCCUUCUGUGUUUGCUGCAUGGGAAAAAAGCUUUUUGACACUUUACCAUAAGUGUUUAUGUUACUAUACUGUUUUGUUCAUUGUUCAGUAUUACUAAAUUUUUUUGUAUAUUUUUUUCUUCUCUCUUUUCUGCUCAGAUUAUUUAGCUUGCAUUACUAAAGUGUGAAUAUUUUCAAGGUAAUUCAUGUCUCAUCUCUAAGUAUUCUCUUGAUUUUAGCUAUCUUCUUUGAUUUAAGGAAAUCCAACUUAUAUUUUUUAGUCUUUAUAGUGCUUCUGAAUUAGUUUAAUCUGAUUAAUUAGUUUAAUCUGAUUAAUCUUUUGUUUGGAUUUACUUGCAUUAUUUUUAUUUUGUGUAUGUUUGUGUGCCUUCUUAUAUGUAUGUACACAGUCUCCCACAUCCUAGAGAUGCUUGAUGCCACUAGAGCUGGAGUUAAAGGAAGCUAUGACCUGCCAGAUGUGGGUACUGGGAGCCACACUCAGGUCCUAUGCAAGAGAAGUAGGCACUCUUAACUCCUGACUCAUCUAUCCAGCCUUAAUCAUUCUUUUAUUUUUAUUUCAAUAGAUAUUGAAUAUGUAGUAUAUGCCAGACAAGAUGAUAAUAAAAACUAAAAGGUGAGCAAAGUACAUGUGCUGUACACGACAAAAUAUUUGUAAGUUAAAAAAAUACUGUAAAGUGUGGUAAGCGCUGUAAUUGAAGUAGAUUGUAUUAUAAGAGCAUGAAAACUAUUAAAUUUUGGAGAAGGGUAGAGAGUGCUUCCAAAAGAAUGUAAAAGAUAAGUAUAGACUUGAAGUCUCGACAGAUGAGGAGGAGUUUACAACCUGAAGGUAAAUGGAAUGGGCUGCCAAACUUGAAAAGACAAUUCCAGACAAAAGGGGUCAACAGUUACAAAGGGCUACAAGUCACAGCGAAUGUGGUAUUUUAGGAAAACUACGCUUAGUUCAGAUCCUAAAUUUCCAGAUAGGUUAGCCAGAGUUAAGGAAAAAGGUGAUUCAAUUGUAGUUGAAGCAAUAUGUUCUAAGGUUUCAGUUUAUAGUCAUUUUUUGUUGAAAAAAAUGUUAAUAUAUUCUGAUCAUGUUUUUUCUUCUCUCAACUUCUCCUAAAUCCUCCCUUCCUCCUUCCCACUCAGGGUCACACUCUUUUUUCCUCUCUUAAAACAAACAAACAAACAAAAAAACCAACAAAACAAAACAAAAAAACCAACAAGC
rnacentral:lncRNA from 1 species